rnacentral:tmRNA from 1 species
GGGGCUGAUUCAGGAUUCGACAGGAUCAAGAAGGCUCGUGGAGCAUGCCGAGGGGCGGUUGGCCUCGUUAAAAGCCGCAAAAAAAUAGUCGCAAACGACGAAACUUACGCACUAGCAGCUUAAUAACCUGCAUAGAGCCUGCUCUCUCUAGCCUUAGACCGUAGGACGGGGAUUCAGAGCAGUCAAAAACAAACGGUAUCGCGUGGAUAUUUUGACUUGAGAGUUGAAGCGUUAAAACUAAUUCAGGUAUGUCUUUACAUGGCGUGUCAAUCCGCAGUGUACUGACGAGAAUAAAGAUUUGACUAAGCAUGUAGCGCCAUUAGUUAGACUGAUUUUGGACGCGGGUUCAAAUCCCGCCAGCUCCACCA